ACGGGAGGCAGCAGUGGGGGAUAUUGCACAAUGGGCGAAAGCCUGAUGCAGCAACGCCGCGUGAGGGAAGACGGUUUUCGGAUUGUAAACCUCUGUCUUUGGUGACGAACAAAUGACGGUAGCCAAGGAGGAAGCCACGGCUAACUACGUGCCAGCAGCCGCGGUAAUACGUAGGUGGCAAGCGUUGUCCGGAUUUACUGGGUGUAAAGGGUGCGCAGGCGGGAUAGCAAGUCAGCUGUGAAAACUACGGGCUUAACCUGUAGACUGCAGUUGAAACUGUUGUUCUUGAGUGGAGUAGAGGUAGGCGGAAUUCCGAGUGUAGCGGUGAAAUGCGUAGAUAUUCGGAGGAACACCAGUGGCGAAGGCGGCCUACUGGGCUCUAACUGACGCUGAGGCACGAAAGCAUGGGGAGCAAACAGGAUUAGAUACCCUGGUA
rnacentral:rRNA from 1 species